rnacentral:rRNA from 1 species
CCUACGGGGGACAGCAGUGAGGAAUAUUGGUCAAUGGGCGGGAGCCUGAACCAGCCAAGCCGCGUGAAUGAAGAAGGCGCCAGGCGUCGUAAACUUCUUUUGUCGGGGAACCAAGGGCGCCACGUGUGGCGUUGUUAGUGUACCCUAAGAAAAAGCAUCGGCUAACUCCGUGCCAGCAGCCGCGGUAAUACGGAGUAUCCAAGCGUUAUCCCGAUUUAUUGGGUUUAAAGGUUGCGUAGGCGGUUUGAUAAGUUAGAGGUGAAAUACCGGUGCUCAACACCGGAACUGCCUCUAAUACUGUUGAACUAGAGAGUAGUUGCGGUAGGCGGAAUGUAUGGUGUAGCGGUGAAAUGCUUAGAGAUCAUACAGAACACCGAUUGCGAAGGCAGCUUACCAAACUAUAUCUGACGUUGAGGCACGAAAGCGUGGGUAACAAACAGGAUUAGAUACCCCAGUAGUC